AGAGUUUGAUCCUGGCUCAGAACGAACGCUGGCGGCAGGCCUAACACAUGCAAGUCGAGCGGGCAUCCUUCGGGAUGUUAGCGGCGGACGGGUGAGUAACGCGUGGGAACGUGCCCUUUGCUACGGAAUAGCCUCGGGAAACUGAGAUUAAUACCGUAUGUGCCCUUCGGGGGAAAGAUUUAUCGGCAAAGGAUCGGCCCGCGUUGGAUUAGGUAGUUGGUGGGGUAAUGGCCCACCAAGCCGACGAUCCAUAGCUGGUUUGAGAGGAUGAUCAGCCACACUGGGACUGAGACACGGCCCAGACUCCUACGGGAGGCAGCAGUGGGGAAUCUUAGACAAUGGGGGAAACCCUGAUCUAGCCAUGCCGCGUGAGCGAUGAAGGCCUUAGGGUUGUAAAGCUCUUUCAGUGGGGAAGAUAAUGACGGUACCCACAGAAGAAGCCCCGGCUAACUCCGUGCCAGCAGCCGCGGUAAUACGGAGGGGGCUAGCGUUGUUCGGAAUUACUGGGCGUAAGCGCACGUAG
rnacentral:rRNA from 1 species